AAGUAGGACUUUUUAGGUAUUGAAUUUCGGUUGGAAAAAUUUUAAGUAAAGAUGUCCAUUACAUUGGACCAUAUUAACCCUUUUUUUGACCUAAAUGCCCAUUUGGAAGAUUUAAAUGUGGCACCCACUGCAACAGGUGGUACAGGCAUCAAUAAUAUGCAGCAGUUUCCUCCGCCAUGUCCUACCAUUCCACAUUGUUGACUAGGAGACAGACCUUAGAAUUGCCAGGUGCAACUGUCAGCCUCACUACCUUGGAGGAUGUUGACGAUAAUAGUACUGCCAUCACUGAGGGACCAGCGAUCAGUGAAUUGCAAAAUGACGAAACCAGACAAAUCUACUCUACUUACUUUAAUGAAGCUGCAAACUAA